rnacentral:rRNA from 1 species
CCAUGAAGCUGGAUUCGCUAGUAAUCGCGCAUCAGCCAUGGCGCGGUGAAUACGUUCCCGGGCCUUGUACACACCGCCCGUCAAGCCAUGGAAGCCGGGAGUGCCUGAAGUGCGUGAGCGUAAGCAGCGCCCUAAGGUAAAACCGGUGACUGGGGCUAAGUCGUAACAAGGUACC